GCCGAUGUAGCUCAGCGGUAGAGCAGCGCACUCGUAAUGCGCAGGUCAGGGGUUCGAAUCCCCUCAUCGGCU
rnacentral:tRNA from 2 species